GGAAAAUCCAGGUUUCAGCAGUAGAAUUUUGUCAUGCUGUGAGGCUCUGCCCAAACCUGGUGAUGACACAAGCCUAUGAAAGUCUCUGUUUCACUUUCAUGGUCGUUUUCUAGGCAGUGACAGUGUCAGAGCAGCAGCCCAACAGGGGAGUCAGAGGAGCUGAACUCAACUGGGACCAGACCACCUCCACUUCUGCAGCACAUGCUGAGCUAGACAUCCGCAGGCGUGCCAGAGCAGCUGGAGAAGGAUGGAAAGGCGGAAAGUUCAUGCAAAUUGCAAAGCCAAACAUUGAUAGUUAA
rnacentral:lncRNA from 12 species